rnacentral:rRNA from 1 species
GACGAACGCUGGCGGCGUGCUUAACACAUGCAAGUCGAACGGAAAGGCCCUGCUUUUGUGGGGUGCUCGAGUGGCGAACGGGUGAGUAACACGUGAGUAACCUGCCCUUGACUUUGGGAUAACUUCAGGAAACUGGGGCUAAUACCGGAUAGGAGCUCCUGCUGCAUGGUGGGGGUUGGAAAGUUUCGGCGGGUGGGGAUGGACUAGCGGCUUAUCAGCUUGCUGGUGGGGGAGUGGCUUACCAAGGCUUUGACGGGUAGCCGGCCUGAGAGGGUGACCGGCCACAUUGGGACUGAGAGACGCAGCAGACUCCUACGGGAGGCAGCAGUGGGGAAUAUUGCACAAUGGGCGGAAGUCUGAUGCGGCAGCGCCGCGUGCGGGAUGACGUCCUGCGGGUUGUAAACCGCUGUCGCCUGUGACGAAGCGGGAGUGACGGUAAUGGGUAAAGAAGCACCGGCUAACUACGUG